AGAGUUAAAAGUACGUGAAAUUGCUAAAAGGGAAACAUUUGACACCAGUAUUUGGGAGUCGGAAAUCAGCCUCGGUAUACUGGGGUGCACUUUCCGGCUACCAGGUCAACAUCAGUUUCGUCUGCCGUAAAAAAGCCAAGAGAAGGUAGGUGUUAAUUCACUGUUAUAGCUCUGGCCGAUGCGGUGGAUGGGACUGAGGACUGGGUGGUUUGUCUAUCGGUGAUGGCCAGUUGUGAGACCUGCCUAGCAGUGCUUACGGCUGUUAACGUUGUUACCGGUGGGUGGACAUUCACAGUAUUGUCAAGGACGCUGACGAAAUGGUUUCAAUCGGCCCGUCUUGAAACACGG
rnacentral:rRNA from 1 species